rnacentral:rRNA from 1 species
AGAGUUUGAUCAUGGCUCAGAUUGAACGCUGGCGGCAGGCCUAACACAUGCAAGUCGAGCGGUAGCACAGAGAGCUUGCUCUCGGGUGACGAGCGGCGGACGGGUGAGUAAUGUCUGGGAAACUGCCUGAUGGAGGGGGAUAACUACUGGAAACGGUAGCUAAUACCGCAUAAUGUCGCAAGACCAAAGUGGGGGACCUUCGGGCCUCAUGCCAUCAGAUGUGCCCAGAUGGGAUUAGCUAGUAGGUGGGGUAACGGCUCACCUAGGCGACGAUCCCUAGCUGGUCUGAGAGGAUGACCAGCCACACUGGAACUGAGACACGGUCCAGACUCCUACGGGAGGCAGCAGUGGGGAAUAUUGCACAAUGGGCGCAAGCCUGAUGCAGCCAUGCCGCGUGUGUGAAGAAGGCCUUCGGGUUGUAAAGCACUUUCAGCGGGGAGGAAGGCGGUGAGGUUAAUAACCUCAUCGAUUGACGUUACCCGCAGAAGAAGCACCGGCUAACUCCGUGCCAGCAGCCGCGGUAAUACGGAGGGUGCAAGCGUUAAUCGGAAUUACUGGGCGUAAAGCGCACGCAGGCGGUCUGUCAAGUCGGAUGUGAAAUCCCCGGGCUCAACCUGGGAACUGCAUUCGAAACUGGCAGGCUAGAGUCUUGUAGAGGGGGGUAGAAUUCCAGGUGUAGCGGUGAAAUGCGUAGAGAUCUGGAGGAAUACCGGUGGCGAAGGCGGCCCCCUGGACAAAGACUGACGCUCAGGUGCGAAAGCGUGGGGAGCAAACAGGAUUAGAUACCCUGGUAGUCCACGCCGUAAACGAUGUCGAUUUGGAGGUUGUGCCCUUGAGGCGUGGCUUCCGGAGCUAACGCGUUAAAUCGACCGCCUGGGGAGUACGGCCGCAAGGUUAAAACUCAAAUGAAUUGACGGGGGCCCGCACAAGCGGUGGAGCAUGUGGUUUAAUUCGAUGCAACGCGAAGAACCUUACCUGGUCUUGACAUCCACAGAACUUUCCAGAGAUGGAUUGGUGCUUCGGGAACUGUGAGACAGGUGCUGCAUGGCUGUCGUCAGCUCGUGUUGUGAAAUGUUGGGUUAAGUCCCGCAACGAGCGCAACCCUUAUCCUUUGUUGCCAGCGGUUCGGCCGGGAACUCAAAGGAGACUGCCAGUGAUAAACUGGAGGAAGGUGGGGAUGACGUCAAGUCAUCAUGGCCCUUACGACCAGGGCUACACACGUGCUACAAUGGCAUAUACAAAGAGAAGCGACCUCGCGAGAGCAAGCGGACCUCAUAAAGUAUGUCGUAGUCCGGAUUGGAGUCUGCAACUCGACUCCAUGAAGUCGGAAUCGCUAGUAAUCGUAGAUCAGAAUGCUACGGUGAAUACGUUCCCGGGCCUUGUACACACCGCCCGUCACACCAUGGGAGUGGGUUGCAAAAGAAGUAGGUAGCUUAACCUUCGGGAGGGCGCUUACCACUUUGUGAUUCAUGACUGGGGUGAAGUCGUAACAAGGUAACCGU